rnacentral:rRNA from 1 species
GACGAACGCUGGCGGCGUGCUUAACGCAUGCAAGUCGAGCGGUAAGGCCCUUUCGGGGGUACGACGAGCGGCGAACGGGUGAGUAACACGUGGGUGACCUGCCCUCAGCUCUGGGAUAAGCCUGGGAAACCGGGUCUAAUACCGGAUAUGACUCCAUGACGCAUGUUGUGGGGUGGAAAGCCUUGUGCGGCUGAGGAUGGGCCCGCGGCCUAUCAGCUUGUUGGUGGGGGGAUGGCCUACC